AUUCUCACUAGAUACAUACUUCAAGUUCACCUACAUCUUCUUCAUUUGCUUUAAGUAGUAAACUAAAUUUUAUUUACGAAAUGAUUUUCAUUCUGCAUAUGAUGAAAAUCAAAUAGAUAAUGUAAAUGAGUUGGCUUGAUGGAGAAGUAUUAAAAAUUAAUAUUAUAUUUUGUCUGUCAUUGCAUGCGAUAUUUUAACUAUGUCGAUGUCCAUAGUAGCAUCGAAAUCCACUUUUAGUGCAGGUCGGUAUGUUCUUGAAGAAA
rnacentral:lncRNA from 1 species